CAAACGGGUGAGUAACGCGUAGACAACCUGCCGUAAAGAUGGGGACAACAGUCCGAAAGGACUGCUAAUACCGAAUGUUGUGGAACUUCCGCAUGGGAGCUCCACUAAAGAUGGCCUCUACUUGUAAGCUAUCGCUUUACGAUGGGUCUGCGUCUGAUUAGCUAGUUGGUGGGGUAACGGCUUACCAAGGCGACGAUCAGUAGCCGGUCUGAGAGGAUGAACGGCCACAUUGGAACUGAGACACGGUCCAGACUCCUACGGGAGGCAGCAGUGGGGAAUCUUCCGCAAUGGGCGCAAGCCUGACGGAGCAACGCCGCGUGAGUGAAGAAGGGUUUCGACUCGUAAAGCUCUGUUGUCGGGGACGAACGUGGAGACUAUGAAUAAUGGUUUUCAAUGACGGUACCUGAUGAGGAAGCCACGGCUAACUACGUGCCAGCAGCCGCGGUAAUACGUAGGUGGCGAGCGUUGUCCGGAAUUAUUGGGCGUAAAGGGAGCGCAGGCGGGAGAUCAAGUCUAUCUUAAAAGUGCGGGGCUCAACCCCGUGAGGGGAUGGAAACUGGUCUUCUUGAGUGCAGGAGAGGAAAGCGGAAUUCCUAGUGUAGCGGUGAAAUGCGUAGAUAUUAGGAGGAACACCAGUGGCGAAGGCGGCUUUCUGGACUGUAACUGACGCUGAGGCUCGAAAGCGUGGGGAGCGAACAGGAUUAGAUACCCUGGUAGUCCACGCCGUAAACGAUGAAUGCUAGGUGUAGGAGGUAUCGACCCCUCCUGUGCCGGAGUUAACGCAAUAAGCAUUCCGCCUGGGGAGUACGGCCGCAAGGCUGAAACUCAAAAGGAAUUGACGGGGGCC
rnacentral:rRNA from 1 species